AGUUGAGCUAAAUUGGCUUCUUCAAGUUCAGUAAGCGAUCAUCCAGAAGAAGAAAGCAUAACUUCAUACUAGUUUUCAAAAGGAUAUACGUAUUAAGGGUUAGAAGGCUGUCCAGUGAAACUGGGGACUGAUUGUGGAACAGAAAAUGGUGUAAUGGCAGCUAUGCAAUGUACAUUUCAGCAGGAUGCAGAAUCACACAAGUAUGGGUCAUCUCUGGUGAACCAAAGGAUUGAGGGCUGGACACCAUGUGUUGCCUGACAUUCCAAAUAACUACUGCACAGGAGUCAACAGACAGGACACACUGAUGCUCUCUUCUCAGUGGCAGCCCAAGAAAGGCCUAUACCCUGACAUUAGGCAAUGAAGAUCUGUACUGUUCCAUGAAUAGGGAAGAGUUUGGAGACUGCAUUGGUGGAGGAU